rnacentral:rRNA from 1 species
AUUGAACGCUGGCGGCAUGCUUUACACAUGCAAGUCGAACGGCAGCACGGGUGCUUGCACCUGGUGGCGAGUGGCGGACGGGUGAGUAAUGCAUCGGAACGUGUCCUUAAGCGGGGGAUAACGCAUCGAAAGAUGUGCUAAUACCGCAUAAUCUCUGAGGAGAAAAGCAGGGGAUCGCAAGACCUUGCACUUUUGGAGCGGCCGAUGUCUGAUUAGCUAGUUGGUGGGGUAAAGGCCUACCAAGGCUUCGAUCAGUAGCUGGUCUGAGAGGACGGCCAGCCACACUGGGACUGAGACACGGCCCAGACUCCUACGGGAGGCUG